rnacentral:rRNA from 1 species
GAUGAACGCUGGCGGCGUGCUUAACACAUGCAAGUCGAACGGGAUCCAUCAGGCUUUGCUUGGUGGUGAGAGUGGCGAACGGGUGAGUAAUGCGUGACCGACCUGCCCCAUACACCGGAAUAGCUCCUGGAAACGGGUGGUAAUGCCGGAUGCUCCGACUCCUCGCAUGGGGUGUCGGGAAAGAUUUCAUCGGUAUGGGAUGGGGUCGCGUCCUAUCAGGUAGUCGGCGGGGUAACGGCCCACCGAGCCUACGACGGGUAGCCGGCCUGAGAGGGCGACCGGCCACAUUGGGACUGAGAUACGGCCCAGACUCCUACGGGAGGCAGCAGUGGGGAAUAUUGCACAAUGGGCGCAAGCCUGAUGCAGCGACGCCGCGUGCGGGAUGACGGCCUUCGGGUUGUAAACCGCUUUUGAUCGGGAGCAAGCCUUCGGGUGAGUGUACCUUUCGAAUAAGCACCGGCUAACUACGUGCCAGCAGCCGCGGUAAUACGUAGGGUGCAAGCGUUAUCCGGAAUUAUUGGGCGUAAAGGGCUCGUAGGCGGUUCGUCGCGUCCGGUGUGAAAGUCCAUCGUUUAACGGUGGAUCUGCGCCGGGUACGGGCGGGCUGGAGUGCGGUAGGGGAGACUGGAAUUCCCGGUGUAACGGUGGAAUGUGUAGAUAUCGGGAAGAACACCAAUGGCGAAGGCAGGUCUCUGGGCCGUUACUGACGCUGAGGAGCGAAAGCGUGGGGAGCGAACAGGAUUAGAUACCCUGGUAGUCCACGCCGUAAACGGUGGAUGCUGGAUGUGGGGCCCGUUCCACGGGUUCCGUGUCGGAGCUAACGCGUUAGGCAUCCCGCCUGGGGAGUACGGCCGCAAGGCUAAAACUCAAAGAAAUUGACGGGGGCCCGCACAAGCGGCGGAGCAUGCGGAUUAAUUCGAUGCAACGCGAAGAACCUUACCUGGGCUUGACAUGUUCCCGACAGCCGUAGAGAUAUGGCCUCCCUUCGGGGCGGGUUCACAGGUGGUGCAUGGUCGUCGUCAGCUCGUGUCGUGAGAUGUUGGGUUAAGUCCCGCAACGAGCGCAACCCUCGCCCUGUGUUGCCAGCACGUCAUGGUGGGAACUCACGGGGGACCGCCGGGGUCAACUCGGAGGAAGGUGGGGAUGACGUCAGAUCAUCAUGCCCCUUACGUCCAGGGCUUCACGCAUGCUACAAUGGCCGGUACAACGGGAUGCGACACGGCGACGUGGAGCGGAUCCCUGAAAACCGGUCUCAGUUCGGAUUGGAGUCUGCAACCCGACUCCAUGAAGGCGGAGUCGCUAGUAAUCGCGGAUCAGCAACGCCGCGGUGAAUGCGUUCCCGGGCCU